UGCAGCUUGCUUACAUGUACAACAAAAGUACUUGCAAGUGUGAGGUCCAUUGACGUUCACAAAUCACCAGCGAAUUCAACCACUAAUGGUUCUUCAACAAUCUGGAAUGUACGUGCCUCUGGUGAUAUUCAAUGUAUGAAAGCGGAUGGAAAUGAAAACUAUGCAUUAUUUGGCGGGUGUGUUUCAUAACUCUAUAUUAUAAGCUUGUUGGUUGUUUACAAAGUGAUACGAGAGGAAUGAUCAUUCCUUGCUCUACAACUCAAGAAGGGAGUUCAAGUUAAUGUGUGGGAUUUUGACAAAUGUACUAAGAUGUGGACUGCAAAAUCUCCUGCUAAAACAAUCUUGGUAUAUUUACCCCAACUUGGUUUACAUCUACAACAUUCUUAAAGUAAAGAUGACCAUCGCAAAUUUGUGGCUGGCACCACUUCCCACCAGAUAACUUGUGACAGCUAACUCCUCUCCUAUGUUGUGUGAAACCCCAAGUUCUAAUAUUCUGUCCAAAGGUAAUUCUUUUGGAAUGUUACAAUGACCAAUAAAGUUAAUAUUUUCCAGUGUAUUCUGUUCUACUGGGUUGAUUAGAAUUGUGGGGUAGUUUUAAUAAACAAGCAAAUAAUUUACCUUUACAAAUAUGCUCUAUUGGGCUGUUAGAAUUUUGGUUUCCCACUCUGUUCUUCACCUUCUUGUUUAUAAUUGAUCAUAAAUUGUGAUCAAGAAUGGGAUUACCGAGAAUAUUGACUAGUGGUCUUGAUGUGCCAAAUGUUGCAUCAUUAUGAAUUUUCUGAUUCAUGUAUUUGUGUGUUCAUAUUUCUAUGUAUUUCUGUAUGCUAUUUAUAAUAAUAAUAAUAACAAAUUCUAUUCA